rnacentral:rRNA from 1 species
GACAGCAGCCGCCGCGGUAAUACAGAGGGUGCGAGCGUUAAUCGGAUUUACUGGGCGUAAAGCGUGCGUAGGCGGCUUCUUAAGUCGGAUGUGAAAUCCCUGAGCUUAACUUAGGAAUUGCAUUCGAUACUGGGAAGCUAGAGUAUGGGAGAGGAUGGUAGAAUUCCAGGUGUAGCGGUGAAAUGCGUAGAGAUCUGGAGGAAUACCGAUGGCGAAGGCAGCCAUCUGGCCUAAUACUGACGCUGAGGUACGAAAGCAUGGGGAGCAAACAGGAUUAGAUACCCGAGUAGUCCCUGUCUCUUAUAA